UACGGGGGGGGCAAGCGUUGUUCGGAAUUACUGGGCGUAAAGGGCUCGUAGGUGGCCAACUAAGUCAGACGUGAAAUCCCUCGGCUUAACCGGGGAACUGCGUCUGAUACUGGAUGGCUUGAGUUCGGGAGAGGGAUGCGGAAUUCCAGGUGUAGCGGUGAAAUGCGUAGAUAUCUGGAGGAAGACCAGUUGCGAAGGCGGAUCUCUGGGCAGUUCCUGACACUGAGGCACGAAGGUCAGGGGAGCAAACGGG
rnacentral:rRNA from 1 species